rnacentral:tRNA from 1 species
GGGAAUGUAGCUCAGUGGCAGAAUGAUUGCCUAGUAUGCACAAGACCCUAGGUUAGAUCCCCAGCAUUGCCA